rnacentral:lncRNA from 1 species
CCAUCAAAAUAUGUGAUACAUGACAGUUUUUACGUUGCAGAUACUUUGCGGGAAAAGAAAAAGACAAGUUGCAUGGAUUUAGGAUGAAUGUGUCUCAUCACCAUGCAAAUUUUGGUUUCUACAAUCUUCUGAUGCCGAUGAAGGAAAACCUUGCACACACAAUGCAAGCUUUGAUGCAUCAAAUUAUUAGGGGCAAAUUGCUAAAGAUAAUAUGUAAGACUCUAAUUGCAAUUCAUAUGAAAGACUUGUCUCUGUUGAGACAUCCAGGUUGGUUAGUGCAUUGUUGCACAAAGUGAUAGGUCUCAAAUUUGAGUCCAUGUGUGAAUGUCAUGUACGCCAUUUAAUAGAAUAAAAAUAUAUUUUAUUUUUUUCUAAAAAAAAUCAUAUGAAAGAUUUUGAUGCUAAAAAUUAAAUCCGCAACUAGUACCACUCUGAGACUCAAAAUGCUCAAGAGCCUCAAUUUCCGGAUUGAGGCAACAAUCUAAAACUCAGCAUCAAUAAGAUCAUCUAAAAAUUGUUGGUAAACUCUUCAUCUCCAAGACUAAUUUCUUAUGCUCAUUCUUAGGUUAUUUCCGGAUUGAGGCAACAAUCUAAAACUCAGCAUCAAUAAGAUCAUCUAAAAAUUGUUGGUAAACUCUUCAUCUCCAAGACUAAUUUCUUAUGCUCAUUCUUAGGUUCUCUCUAACACCACUAAUACUGAUCCCAAGCACGGAUGAAAAAGGUGAAGGGUUACGUUAGGUCACUGAUAAUCUGUGUCAGAUCUCAUGAACAUGGAUUUUAACUAAUCUCAAUGGUGGCAAAAACUCAAUGUAGCCGACACCAAAUAUUUGAAACUUUGAUAGUAGUAUCGUAGGUCCUCUCUAUAAUUAGAAUUUAGGAUACACCGAUACAAUUAGUUCUUUCGGAACACAUUAAAGUAGGCUAGCCAUUCCAAGAUUGACCAGUUUGAUUCAGAUUUUCUAUCUUUUACAUGACUACAAUGUUUUGGCGAGAAAGAUUCUCUUUUUUCCUCUUAGCAAGAUCUGAUCAAGAAAUCCGAGACACCGUGGGGGCAAUUAAACAAGGUUUCACUUCCUUGAAUCGUGAAGAACGAGCAGUGACCGUGAUCUUAGCGCGAACGACUCUCAAUCCUCCAGAGAGGGGGAGAAGAAGUAAAGCUUGGGAAUGGAGAUGGAGAUUAGCACGAAAGCGAGAGUGAGAGAGA